rnacentral:rRNA from 1 species
CCUACGGGGGGCUGCAGUGGGGAAUAUUGGACAAUGGGGGCAACCCUGAUCCAGCCAUGCCGCGUGUGUGAAGAAGGCCCUCGGGUUGUAAAGCACUUUCAGUGAGGAAGAACGCCUGGUGGUUAAUACCCAUCAGGAAAGACAUCACUCACAGAAGAAGCACCGGCUAACUCCGUGCCAGCAGCCGCGGUAAUACGGAGGGUGCGAGCGUUAAUCGGAAUUACUGGGCGUAAAGCGCGCGUAGGUGGCUUGAUAAGCCGGUUGUGAAAGCCCCGGGCUCAGCCUGGGAACGGCAUCCGGAACUGUCAAGCUAGAGUGCAGGAGAGGAAGGUAGAAUUCCCGGUGUAGCGGUGAAAUGCGUAGAGAUCGGGAGGAAUACCAGUGGCGAAGGCGGCCUUCUGGACUGACACUGACACUGAGGUGCGAAAGCGUGGGUAGCAAACAGGAUUAGAUACCCGUGUAGUC